CGUACUCCCAGCAGGAGCCGUGGACACCACAGUCCUGCUGCCACAGCAUACAGGUUGUGUCGAUCACCGCCCCAAAAUAGAUGGGAGUAGGUAUGUAGGCUGAGGAGAGAGAGGAGAGAGACCGUUAUGAUACAGAAGAAGUAGAUGGUUGUAGGUAUGUAGGCUGAGGAGAGAGAGGAGAGAGACCGUUAUGAUACAGAACAAGUAGAUGGUUGUAGGUAUGUAGGCUGAGGAGAGAGAGGAGAGAGACCGUUAUGAUACAGAACAAGUAGAUGGUUGUAGGUAUGUAGGCUGAGGAGAGAGAGGAGAGAGACCGUUAUGAUACAGAACAAGUAGAUGGUUGUAGGUAUGUAGGCUGAGGAGAGAGAGGAGAGAGACCGUUAUGAUACAGAACAAGUAGAUGGUUGUAGGUAUGUAUGUAGGCUGAGGAGAGAGAGGAGAGAGACCGUUAUGAUACAGAACAAGUAGAUGGUUGUAGGUAUGUAUGUAGGCUGAGGAGAGAGAGGAGAGAGACCGUUAUGAUACAGAACAAGUAGAUGGUUGUAGGUAUGUAUGUAGGCUGAGGAGAGAGAGGAGAGAGACCGUUAUGAUACAGAACAAGUAGAUGGUUGUAGGUAUGUAGGCUGAGGAGAGAGAGGAGAGAGACCGUUAUGAUACAGAACAAGUAGAUGGUUGUAGGUAUGUAUGUAGGCUGAGGAGAGAGAGGAGAGAGACCGUUAUGAUACAGAACAAGUAGAUGGUUGUAGGUAUGUAGGCUGAGGAGAGAGAGGAGAGAGACCGUUAUGAUACAGAACAAGUAGAUGGUUGUAGGUAUGUAGGCUGAGGAGAGAGAGGAGAGAGACCGUUAUGAUACAGAACAAGUAGAUGGUUGUAGGUAUGUAUGUAGGCUGAGGAGAGAGAGGAGAGAGACCGUUAUGAUACAGAACAAGUAGAUGGUUGUAGGUAUGUAUGUAGGCUGAGGAGAGAGAGGAGAGAGACCGUUAUGAUACAGAACAAGUAGAUGGUUGUAGGGAUGUAGGCUGAGGAGAGAGAGGAGAGAGACCGUUAUGAUACAGAACAAA